AUUGAACGCUGGCGGCAGGCUUAACACAUGCAAGUCGAGCGGAGAGAGGUAGCUUGCUACUGAUCUUAGCGGCGGACGGGUGAGUAAUGCUUAGGAAUCUGCCUAUUAGUGGGGGACAACAUUUCGAAAGGAAUGCUAAUACCGUAUACGUCCUACGGGAGAAAGCAGGGGAUCUUCGGACCUUGCGCUAAUAGAUGAGCCUAAGUCGGAUUAGCUAGUUGGUGGGGUAAAGGCCUACCAAGGCGACGAUCUGUAGCGGGUCUGAGAGGAUGAGCCGCCACACUGGGACUGAGACACGGCCCAGACUCCUACGGGAGGCAGCAGUGGGGAAUAUUGCACAAUGGGCGGAAGCCUGAUCCAGCCAUGCCGCGUGUGUGAAGAAGGCCUUAUGGUUGUAAAGCACUUUAAGCGAGGAGGAGGCUACUUUAGUUAAUACCUAGAGAUAGUGGACGUUACUCGCAGAAUAAGCACCGGCUAACUCUGUGCCAGCAGCCGCAGUAA
rnacentral:rRNA from 1 species